rnacentral:rRNA from 1 species
CACGUAGGGGCAAGCGUUGUCCGGAUUUAUUGGGCGUAAAGAGCUCGUAGGCGGUUCGGUAAGUCGGGUGUGAAACCUCCAGGCUCAACCUGGAGUCGCCACUCGAUACUGCUGUGACUAGAGUCCGGUAGGGGAGCGUGGAAUUCCUGGUGUAGCGGUGAAAUGCGCAGAUAUCAGGAGGAACACCAGCGGCGAAGGCGGCGCUCUGGGCAUGUCCUGACGCUGAGGAGCGAAAGUGUGGGGAGCGAACAGG